rnacentral:ncRNA from 1 species
ACUCUCUGGAGACAUCUGGAUCAAGACCAGGGGCCGAAGGGGCAACGUAUGUGCGAUGCACAUAGGAAUCUCUCAGGCAACAGGACAGAGAAG